UACGGAGGAUGCGAGCGUUAUCCGGAUUUAUUGGGUUUAAAGGGUGCGUAGGCGGCUUUUUAAGUCAGCGGUGAAAUUUUGCAGCUUAACUGUAAAAGUGCCGUUGAUACUGUGAGGCUAGGAUUUGGUUGCUGUGGGUGGAAUGUGUGGUGUAGCGGUGAAAUGCUUAGAGAUCACACAGAAUAUCGAUUGCGAAGGCAGCUCACAAAGCCAAGAUUGACGCUGAGGCACGAAAGUGUGGGGAUCAAGCAGGA
rnacentral:rRNA from 1 species